UAUAGGUUAAACUUAGAAAGUCUAUAAGUACUACUAUGAGUGUCCAAAUAAUUCCCGGUCUGAACCAAAAAUCCACAGUUACAAAGAUAAUACUAUACAUACUAUAAAAUAAUUAGCUAAGUAAAGUUCUCGGACUCUACACUUGCACUUACUCUUCAGCUGUGAUCAGACUCCAAGGUGCUAGUGAUACCAUAAGAGUGAUACACUUGGGUUGGGAAAGAAAAAGCUUUAUCAAACACUUGGGAAGUGAGGAUUAGAGUAUUUCGGUAUUGGAGUUAGGCCAAUCCAUAAGGUCAACAAAGGUUUUUAAGUUCUUUGAACUUAAGGUGUCUUUUCGGCAAGGUUUCUCUUGGUGGUUUAGUUCUAUUCUUCUCAUCUCUUUCCUUUAGAAAUACUCACUAUUCUAUUGCUGGUUUUAGGAGUGUUCCACGUCCCGCAUUUGUUCUCAUAUCCCGGUUUUGGGAAAUAGUUAUGGCAGCGAGAAGAUUCUUGGCAGCUUGGGAUUGUGUAUUGAAGGAGAAUGGAUUCGGUGGACUGCACGAACGAUUC